GGUUAACUGUUGUUGGGUGCCGUUGGUGCUGCAAACGAAAGUCAUCUGCUGUAGAAGCUCGGACGAGAACUGCCUGUUGGAGAAGUCCAGUAGGAGUCCGAUUGUUGGAGAAGUCUAUUUGGAAUUUGUAUGAUGUAGAAGCUUGUCUGAAGAAUUGUCUGCUGGAGAGGUCCGAUUGCACAAGGAAUCUGACUGAAGGUCGAUCGAUAGAAGAGUUCGAAAGGCGUUGUAGAAGUUCAUCCACUGGAGGAGUCUAGAAAAUCCUGUGAA
rnacentral:lncRNA from 1 species